CAGUCGAGCGCACUCUUCGGAGUGAGCGGCGGACGGGUUAGUAACGCGUGGGAACGUGCCCUUCUCUAAGGAAUAGCCACUGGAAACGGUGAGUAAUACCUUAUACGCCCUUCGGGGGAAAGAUUUAUCGGAGAAGGAUCGGCCCGCGUUAGAUUAGAUAGUUGGUGGGGUAAUGGCCUACCAAGUCUACGAUCUAUAGCUGGUUUUAGAGGAUGAUCAGCAACACUGGGACUGAGACACGGCCCAGACUCCUACGGGAGGCAGCAGUGGGGAAUCUUGGACAAUGGGCGCAAGCCUGAUCCAGCCAUGCCGCGUGAGUGAUGAAGGCCUUAGGGUCGUAAAGCUCUUUCGCCAGAGAUGAUAAUGACAGUAUCUGGUAAAGAAACCCCGGCUAACUCCGUGCCAGCAGCCGCGGUAAUACGGAGGGGGUUAGCGUUGUUCGGAAUUACUGGGCGUAAAGCGCACGUAGGCGGAUCAGAAAGUAUAGGGUGAAAUCCCAGGGCUCAACCCUGGAACUGCCUUGUAAACUCCUGGUCUUGAGUUCGAGAGAGGUGAGUGGAAUUCCGAGUGUAGAGGUGAAAUUCGUAGAUAUUCGGAGGAACACCAGUGGCGAAGGCGGCUCACUGGCUCGAUACUGACGCUGAGGUGCGAAAGUGUGGGGAGCAAACAGGAUUAGAUACCCUGGUGGUCCACACCGUAAACGAUGAAUGCCAGACGUCAGCAAGCAUGCUUGUUGGUGUCACACCUAACGGAUUAAGCAUUCCGCCUGGNGAGUACGGUCGCAAGAUUAAAACUCANNNGAAUUGACGGGGGCCCGCACAANNNNNNNAGCAUGUGGUUUAAUUCGAAGCAACGCGCAGAACCUUACCAACCCUUGACAUCCUUGGACCGCUAGAGAGAUCUAGCUUUCUCGCAAGAGACCAAGUGACAGGUGNNNCAUGGCUGNCGUCAGCUCGUGUCGUGAGAUGUUC
rnacentral:rRNA from 1 species